UACGUAGGGUGCAAGCGUUGUCCGGAAUUAUUGGCGUAAAGAGCUCGUAGGUGGCCUGUCGCGUCGGCUGUGAAAACUCGGGGCUCAACUCCGAGCUUGCAGUCGAUACGGGCAGGCUAGAGUUCGGCAGGGGAGACUGGAAUUCCUGGUGUAGCGGUGAAAUGCGCAGAUAUCAGGAGGAACACCGGUGGCGAAGGCGGGUCUCUGGGCCGAUACUGACACUGAGGAGCGAAAGCGUGGGGAGCGAACAGG
rnacentral:rRNA from 1 species